rnacentral:rRNA from 1 species
UACGUAGGGCGCAAGCGUUGUCCGGAAUUAUUGGGCGUAAAGAGCUCGUAGGCGGUUUGUCGCGUCUGCUGUGAAAACCCGAGGCUCAACCUCGGGCCUGCAGUGGGUACGGACAGACUAGAGUGCGGUAGGGGAGACUGGAAUUCCUGGUGUAGCGGUGGAAUGCGCAGAUAUCAGGAGGAACACCGAUGGCGAAGGCAGGUCUCUGGGCCGCAACUGACGCUGAGGAGCGAAAGCAUGGGGAGCGAACAGG